GAGAAUUAUGUAAGGCAAUAAAGUUAGGUUAGGUGAUACGUAUACAAUAUAAGAAAUUUGAUGGAAACUUAUGGGAAUGCUUGAUAAAAUUUAUCAAGAACUUAUUAUAAAGCUCGUUUCAAAGAUGGCGAAUGUCGUUAGGUCCUUUGAAGCCGGUCGCUCGGACUCUCCCACAUUCGGUCCAACCUGACCGCAUUCCAGUAGGAAUCUGUCUCAGGCUUCUCAGGCCACGGAACAACCUCUGCGUAUCGAUCGCCAAGUCCUGGCAUCUUACGCGACGUCGGGACGCACGUGUCUUGCGAUUUGAUAGAUUAUUAAUUAGUUUUCACUAAUUAGGCCUGGCAGCGGGUCGCUUUCUAGCACUGUCAGAAAGAGGAAAUCAUUUACGAAGGAAUAAGAGAAAAAGGUAUAACCGAAAUAAUUCACGUGGACGAUUACAAUAUUGUCAGGAUGGUAAUAAGGUGUGUCAGAACUUGUUAGCUGGUGCACGCUGCUAUUUGGUACAGUGGGCUGUACCACGGUAUUGCUGGCUCGGUGACCUAGUGACCUCGAGACUCCAAGAGCCCCGUAGGCCACCUUAGGAUAAAUUGAACCGGGUAUGCAUAAAAGUCGAUUGCGGUCUUGGCAACAGGUGUGGGAGUCAACAGUGGAACAAUUGACGGAUCCAUGAGAGUUAAUAAUAACCCAAGUACAGACAAUUUCAAAAGAGGAACAUUCUUGUGUUACGAAAACAAAAAAAAAUCACAAGUUCGAGGUUAAGAUUCGAGUCUUAUGAAACGCCCAGAUUUCAUUAUAUCGAUAUACACCCAAUCAUCGAUUAUUGAUUGUUCGAUUAUGUUUCAUGAUGAAUCUCGGCCCUUCUCUUUUCUACGUGGUCUUUGUUCACGGGACACGUUUACGGCUCGUGCGUAACGCACAAAAGAAAAUGCGCGUGCGAUGAGUCAGAAAGUUACAUUAUGGCUUGAAGUAAGAAUCCACCACCUUGUGACAAUGGCUCGUCAGGUUGUUUUUGACUGAAGAUUCAACCUGAGAAACCCGCACUGAAUGUUAUUGCAUCCACAUUGCGCCCACGCUUGAAUACCAAAGCGGAUAACAGCGGAUUCACCUGUAUGAAUUGGCUUUUAUAAAGCCACACGGUAUAACUCAAGAUAAAGAAGUCCCUUUAUUACCAUCAAGAGUUCUACGCCCCUUGCAUAAACUAUCACGACACCCUGUUUGAACUUUCAGGUCAAGCCUGCAACGAUUCACAAAAAAAGGUGUAUUCUGUUACUGCAAUGCCAAAUAUUAAUUGUUCUGGCGGAAAUUAUAUAUACAUAUACAAAGGGCGUGCAUCAUCUGGCAUGGAAUUCUGUAUUCAAGGAUGUACCUGGGAUAAACGCGUGUCGACGGACUCUACUAAGCACGUGUUCCUUCCCACUCUCAGUCCACUGUUUUUCCUUACAUGGAGAAGCAUACCUUCGCGACAGUCAAUUCGAUUAAAUUCAAUGGCUUCAUGGCGAGGAUGCAACGUGCUAUGCAGCGGCGAGUGGGCCGUUGCGUCAAGUCGUGAGACACCUGAUCAAACAGGAGUGCAGAGUACGUAUCGGGUGGAUAAAGAGAAGAAUUUCUAAGAAGAAGAAGGGAAAAAACAUAAGAACGUCAGUGUCGUUGCGUAUUGAAAAAUAAUAUUUUCAAAAGCGCCGUUCCUUUCAAAAUUAAUAUUAUAAGCGUGUACGUCGAUCAAUCAAUUUUUUCUGCAAACAAUUCAACGUCACACGUGUUCGACUUAUACGAUUCUAUUAUACAUAUAUAACGUACCCCAUUAUGUAAUACGGAAUGAAUUGUUAAGAGCGGCGGGAAAUUCAAAGGCGUACAGUCUCCUUGUCUCUUUAGUCAGAAAGUAAAUGCAGACCCUGUAAUUUAUUUUCACGAGGCGCAAUGAAUCCUUUUUACGACGCGUAUAAACGAGAGCGUUAACGCACUCUGUGGAUUUCGUAGGCCGUUUACCUCUACAGAGUCGCUGGACAAUUAUGCCGCUCUCGAAAUGGCUGUGCAGGCAGACCGAUACAUAAGCAAAAGGAAAACAAAGAACUUAAGAGCGACAAAAAGAGCCCGGAGGAUGCAGAAUCCUGUAAUAAUUACAAAGAAAAAAAAGAAAGAAUAGAUAAAGCGCGCGUGCGCGAGCGGAAACCGCGACGAUAUUAAUUUUCGGAUAGCAAAAAGAUCAUCAUUAAAACAGAAGCAAUGAUCCCAAGCAUGAAAUCAUUGUAAUAACAACCGGAAGACGUACUUAGGUUUAUCAUAUCUCUAGUAAAAACAUCAGUAGCCUUUUAAUCUGUGUCAGAAGUAUAAGAGUAUAAAAUUCUUUGUCUCUUGUCGCCAAUUAACUGAAACCGCGUUAUUUGUAAUUUAACAAGAGUAAUCUUUCUGGAGGCUUGGACGAGACAAAGAAGAAAAAUAAUGGGAGUUAGCUAGAAUUAAUUUCGCACUGAAUUUUUUUGUUAAUUAAAGAACCUACUUUUUAAUUUGAAAUUAUGUUAAACGCUUUAUGUAACGCGUAUCUGGGCAUAUAUUGUAAGACACGUAAUACAAAUUUCUGAACUUUCUCGGGAGUGGUGCGUUUAUUUCAAAGCUUGUAAACUUGCCGGAGCGUUAACUUGCCAAGUUUCACUUUUAUUUAGCUCUAUAUAGUCAUAUAUGCACAGAGUCAUUUUCUCGCGCUUCUUUCCAAGACGGUUUCACCGCUCCUUUCAGACAAGUUUGGCCUUCGUUAUAUAUAAACGUCUGUAUACAAUCCA